GAGUUUGGAUCCUGGCUCAGGAUGAACGCUGGCUACAGGCUUAACACAUGCAAGUCGAGGGGCAGCACGUUGCCCGGUUUACCGGGCAUGGGUGGCGACCGGCGCACGGGUGAGUAACACGUAUCCAACCUGGCCACGGCCCGGGGACAGCCUUUCGAAAGAAAGAUUAAUCCCCGGCGGCGCGCGGUUGCCGCAUGGCUUCCGCGCCGAAGGUAUUUUUUCCGGCGGUGGAUGGGGAUGCGUCCCAUUAGCUUGUUGGCGGGGCAACGGCCCACCAAGGCGUCGAUGGGUAGGGGUUCUGAGAGGAAGGCCCCCCACAUUGGAACUGAGACACGGUCCAAACUCCUACGGGAGGCAGCAGUGAGGAAUAUUGGUCAAUGGGCGGAAGCCUGAACCAGCCAAGUAGCGUGGAGGACGACGGCCCUACGGGUUGUAAACUCCUUUUGCGGGGGGAUAACCGGCGCCACGCGUGGCGCCCUGCAUGUACCCCGCGAAUAAGCAUCGGCUAACUCCGUGCCAGCAGCCGCGGUAAUACGGAGGAUGCGGGCGUUAUCCGGAUUUAUUGGGUUUAAAGGGAGCGUAGACGGGGGGGUAGGUCAGUUGUGAAACCCCGCGGCUCAACCGCGGGCGUGCAGUUGAUACCGUCCCCCUUGAGUGCGGCAGAGGCAGGCGGAAUUCGUGG
rnacentral:rRNA from 1 species